GUGCCAGCAGCCGCGGUAAUACGGAGGGUGCGAGCGUUAAUCGGAAUUACUGGGCGUAAAGCGUACGCAGGCGGUUUGUUAAGCGAGAUGUGAAAGCCCCGGGCUCAACCUGGGAACUGCAUUUCGAACUGGCAAACUAGAGUGUGAUAGAGGGUGGUAGAAUUUCAGGUGUAGCGGUGAAAUGCGUAGAGAUCUGAAGGAAUACCGAUGGCGAAGGCAGCCACCUGGGUCAACACUGACGCUCAUGUACGAAAGCGUGGGGAGCAAACAGGAUUAGAUACCCCUGUAGUCC
rnacentral:rRNA from 1 species